rnacentral:lncRNA from 1 species
UGAAAAGAACGAAGUUUUGUCCAUCUUUGUUCAUCAUAGCUGAAAGUUAGAGAAGAGAAAGGAGAGGAGAAAGCUUUUGAGUAUUCGGUCAUUAGGAGGAGGAAAAUUGAAGGUAAGUUCUUGGUACCUUGCUUCUAUUUUGAGGUUCAUGGGUUCUUCUUGAUUCUACCUUAACUCUUGAAGUAUAUUUUGAUUUUUAGUUGUGUUGUGAGCAUUUAGUCAUGAAUUAAAAUGAAGGAAAUGAUUGUUGUUUCAUCUUCUUUUGAUGAAAAAUGGAAGAUAUGUGAAGUUAAGCCAAACAAAUGAGCAUGCAUGUGCCUUAGAUGCUAAAGGGAAAAAUCGGCUAACAUGUUGUGCUUUAAAAUGAUGAAAUAGAGAUUAUACUUAAGUAAAAUCAUAGAUAUGUGAUGAUUGAUUGGUGAUAUACAUGUUUAAAUAAUAAGCAUGCAAGUUAGGUGUGAAAGAGUGAUUUGGUAAUAAAUCUGCUUGGGACAGCAGCAGUAAUAUGACUUUGAAAAUUCACCAUAAAUUGUGGGAGAUGAGUUAGAAGCUGUAUAAAUUAUGUAAUUAAAGCUUAAUGAGUCUAGUUUCAAAUGGAAUAAACGAGAACAUAUUUUGAAUUCUGUACAAUGAGAAAUUUGAUUCGUAAUGAAGAGUGGUCAGAUUAGUCAAACAGUGAAACAUGGGAAACUUUGAGAAAAAUCUGGUAUUGAUUGGCUAAACCAAAAAUUCUGAAAAUUUUAUGGAUAGAAGAUAUAUGAGUAUAUUUUCAGGGAAAAUUAACGGCACUUGAUGUGGAGUUUCGUAGCUCCAGUUAUAAAUGAUUUAGUGACUGUUGCACAGGAAGACAGCUUGCAGUGAAAUUAUGAUUAUGUGGUAAACAUUGACAAAAAUUUGUUAAUGAGUUGCUUAUUGAUUUCUUAUAAGCUUACUAUGAUCUGUAGGUGUGGUUGGCCGAAUAUCAUAAGGGGUAAUACAUAGUUUGUAUUUGAAUAGUUAGAUUAACGUGUUAGCAAUCCAAUUGUAGGCGGUUCGUGUAUGGAUCUCGUCAGCAUAUUGUCGCAAACAGGUGUGUAACUAACACCCUCUUUCUUAGUCUAGAUCGGCAAAAGCCGAAAAGCCGAAAUGCCAAAAAUCGGUAUUUUGUAGAUUUGCGAGUGUACGAAUGCUCGUGAGGUAAAUCGAUUAAUGUUUUUGGUAAGCUGCAAUGUUUGGACUGCAAAGUGCAUGAUUUCUGUGCCCUCGAUAUUUUUGGGCUUAAUGGGCCAAAAUUGGAAUGAUGGGCAAACGGGCCCAAUUCGGUAAAAACCCUCGGUAGUGAUUCUGUUAGUACGUGAAAGGUAGGAAUAUGCAUGAAAAACCCUAAAAUAGAUAAAUUAUUGAAACACCUUUAAAAGUGGAAAAUUUACAGUUUUACCCCUAGGAGAUAAAUUACCGAAAUACCCCUAGGGUUAAAUUGACCUAAAUGCAUGUUUGACUGUUGUUAUUUACUGUAUGCCAUGUUGUUAUUAUCUGAUGCAUGGGACUGGGAUAUUGAUGGAGGAAGUACUGAAAGUGGCUUGUCCACGUACUGGAGGCUCUGCCUCAAUUUACUGUUAACUGAGCAGCAAGGCUGCAACUGUGGAGUGUUGGGCUGGGUGGGUUGAGCUAUUCCCCACAUGGAGUGUAUGGCUGGUACGAGUGGAGUGUAGUGGUUGGUGGGUUGAGUAGUCUCCCCAAAUGGGUUUGCAUAUGUUUACUGAUGUUGCAUGUUUUUUGAAAUGGGCCUAUGGGCCAUACUGUUAUCUGAAUAAGGGGCUAAGGCCCAGUUUAUUGUAAUCUGAAAAGGGCUCUGGCCCAGUACCACUGUUACUGAAUGGGCUUAGGCCCAAUAGGCUUGAGCUGACUUGGGCUUUGAAUGGGUUUUCCUUACACACUGAGUUUCCCCAAACUCACCCCUUUUAUUUUCAUCCAUGCAGGAAAUCCCCAACCAUAGUGGGCUUGGAGCUGUGAGGGAAUUCGGAGUGGCCACCCGUUCUGAAAGUUUGAUUUUCUUCUGGUGAAUUGGACAUCCUUUUAAUUACGUUUGAGGUUUUGGGCUUUUAAAUGUAAUAAGGCCGC